rnacentral:rRNA from 1 species
GUCGAACGGGAUGCUUAGGCAUCUAGUGGCGGACGGGUGAGUAACGCGUGAGAAUCUGGCUCCAGGUCGGGGAUAACAGUUGGAAACGACUGCUAAUACCGGAUGUGCCGAGAGGUGAAAGAUUUAUUGCCUGGAGAUGAGCUCGCGUCUGAUUAGCUAGUUGGUGGUGUAAGGGACCACCAAGGCGUCGAUCAGUAGCUGGUCUGAGAGGAUGAUCAGCCACACUGGGACUGAGACACGGCCCAGACUCCUACGGGAGGCAGCAGUGGGGAAUUUUCCGCAAUGGGCGAAAGCCUGACGGAGCAAUACCGCGUGAGGGAGGAAGGCUCUUGGGUCGUAAACCUCUUUUCUCAAGGAAGAAGAAAGUGACGGUACUUGAGGAAUAAGCAUCGGCUAACUCCGUGCCAGCAGCCGCGGUAAUACGGAGGAUGCAAGCGUUAUCCGGAAUGAUUGGGCGUAAAGGGUCUGCAGGUGGAACUGAAAGUCUGCUGUUAAAGAGUUUGGCUUAACCAAAUAAAAGCGGUGGAAACUACAGAACUAGAGUGCGGUAGGGGCAAAAGGAAUUCCUGGUGUAGCGGUGAAAUGCGUAGAUAUCAGGAAGAACACCGGUGGCGAAAGCGUUUUGCUAGACCGUAACUGACACUGAGGGACGAAAGCUAGGGGAGCGAAUGGGAUUAGAUACCCCAGUAGUCCUAGCCGUAAACGAUGGAUACUAGGCGUGGCUUGUAUCGACCCGAGCCGUGCCGGAGCUAACGCGUUAAGUAUCCCGCCUGGGGAGUACGCACGCAAGUGUGAAACUCAAAGGAAUUGACGGGGGCCCGCACAAGCGGUGGAGUAUGUGGUUUAAUUCGAUGCAACGCGAAGAACCUUACCAAGACUUGACAUCCUGCGAAUCCUGGUGAAAGCUAGGAGUGCCUUAGGGAGCGCAGAGACAGGUGGUGCAUGGCUGUCGUCAGCUCGUGUCGUGAGAUGUUGGGUUAAGUCCCGCAACGAGCGCAACCCUCGUUUUUAGUUGCCAGCAUUAAGUUGGGCACUCUAGAGAGACUGCCGGUGACAAACCGGAGGAAGGUGAGGAUGACGUCAAGUCAGCAUGCCCCUUACGUCUUGGGCUACACACGUACUACAAUGCUACGGACAGAGGGCAGCGAGCCAGGGAUGGCAAGCGAAUCCAGAAACCGUAGCUCAGUUCAGAUCGAAGGCUGCAACUCGCCUUCGUGAAGGAGGAAUCGCUAGUAAUUGCAGGUCAGCAUACUGCAGUGAAUUCGUUCCCGGGCCUUGUACACACCGCCCGUCACACCAUGGAAGUUGGUCACGCCCGAAGUCAUUACCCCAACCGAAAGGAG